rfam:Gossypium raimondii Chr08_contig_877, whole genome shotgun sequence.
UGUUAAAAAAUUCAUCUAUUUCUACUAUUAAAAACUUACGUGACUGACAAAAUAAUCAAACAGUUAUACUGUGUACCUCAUGUAGACACACGCGAACCAAUUUUUAACCAUAGAAAUAGAUGAAAUUUUUAAGA